CUGAUGACGUCGCUACUACCGAUUGAUGGCUUAGUGAGCCUUUGGGAUUGGCAGCCAACACCGGCAACGGUAGCUGGCCGCCGAAAACUUAGGCAAACUUGGUCAUUUAGAGGAAGUAAAAGUCGUAACAAGGUUUCUGUAGGUGAACCUGCAGAAGGAUCAUUAGUGAAAGCAAGGGCCUGCCAUACGGACGGCGCGUACUCCGCGUGAAACGUCUCUGGCGCCCAACUUUACACCAAUAUCCACAAACCCGUGUGCACACUGUUGAGGGGAAAAGUUUUCUUUUGGAAGCUUUCCCCUCAAACGCUUGAAACAAACUCGUAUGGUUGUAUGAACGUGGAAAUCGUUGGACCGUAACUGGCCAACAAACAAACAAUACAACUUUCGACAACGGAUCUCUUGGUUCUCCCAUCGAUGAAGAACGCAGCGAAACGCGAUAGGUAAUGUGAAUUGCAGAAUUCCGUGAAUCAUCGAAUCUUUGAACGCACCUUGCGCUCUAUGGUAUUCCGUGGAGCAUGCCUGUUUGAGUGCCGUGAAUUCUCUCUCCCCAAGCGGUUGCGAUUAUUGCGCUGCUUUUGGCGGACGAGGUUGGAUGGGUGCUUCUGCCUGUUUCUUGCUAAACAGGCUCGCCCGAAAUGCAUUAGCGCCUUUUUGGGACACAAUCUCUGCAAUACCGCUCCUGAAGGGAGGGCGGCAGAGAGCGGGGGGGUUCCCACCCGUUAGCCAUACCAAACUUUGCCCAGGCAAGCGCAUGGCAUGAUACGUCAUUUGCUGUGUGCGCGCUCUAGGCAAGGGGCCGACGCGGUGCCUUCUGCACUCUGUGAGUUGUGUUGGUGCGCUACCAAUCCUGCGUGGAGGCUGGUCCGUGCGAGCAGCCUUGUGAACGCAUUCCCUUUUUCAUUUCUGGUCUCAAAUCAGGUAGGAUCACCCGCCGAACUUAAGCAUAUCAUUAAGCGGAGGAAAAGAAACUAACAAGGAUUCCCCUAGUAACGGCGAGUGAAGAGGGAAGAGCUCAAAUUUGAAAGCUGGCACCUCCGGUGUCCGCGUUGUAAUCUCGAGACGUGUUUUCCGUGCGGCGCUAUGGACAAGUUCCUUGGAACAGGACAUCGUAGAGGGUGAAAAUCCCGUACUUGCCAUGGACGUACCGUGCUUUGCGAUACACGCUCUAAGAGUCGAGUUGUUUGGGAUUGCAGCUCAAAAUGGGUGGUAGACUCCAUCUAAAGCUAAAUAUCGGGGAGAGACCGAUAGCGAACAAGUACCGUGAGGGAAAGAUGAAAAGCACUUUGGAAAGAGAGUUAAAAGUACGUGAAAUUGUCGAAAGGGAAGCGCUUGAAGUCAGCCAUGCGCUCAGGACUCAGCCUGGCUUCUGCUGGGUGUACUUUCUGGGUUGCAAGUCAGCAUUGGUUCGGAUCGUCGGAGAAGCGUAGAAGGAAUGUGGCGUCUUCGGGCGUGUUAUAGACUUCUACUGGAUACGACGAUCUGGAUCAAGGAACGCAGCGCGCCUUAUGGCGGGUCUUCGGACACCUCGCGCUAGGAUGCUGCUACCGAUGU
rnacentral:rRNA from 1 species